GGUGAACCUGCGGAAGGAUCAUUACCGAUGUGAAAAAUCCAAGGUUAAACAUCAUUAACCAGUGUGAACUGUACAACAACUCUUUAGGGGUCGGCACAGGCGUGUGUCGUUAAAUGGCGGAUAGGUUCCUUCCGCCAGCCCCGCCAUUGUGUUUAUGAUAUCACCUUGAACGUUUAAGACUGAGAACGUAUGUAUCAUGCAUGAAAUGUAUGAGAAGGAAGGAAAGAAAAAUGAGAGACAACUUUUGACGGUGGAUCUCUUGGCUCACGUAUCGAUGAAGAACGCAGCCAGCUGCGAUAUGUAGUGUGAAUUGCAGAAUUCAGUGAAUCAUUGAAUCUUUGAACGCAAAUGGCGCUCUUGGGUUCUCCCAGGAGCAUGUCUGUCUGAGUGUCGGAUUUUAUCGAACGCACUCGUGAGUGCGGUAUUGAGGUGUCACGGCGUGUUAGCAAGCAAGCAUUAAAUCGCCGUGUCCCUUGAAGGACAGCAGCAUUGGACUCGCAUUCUCCAUUGAAACUUGAGUGCGAAGGCUAAAGAUAAUAUUUUCCUUCGCCCAAACAUGCAAUAGCAGAAACAAAAUCCAAUCAAAGCGGUGACAGACAAUGACAACAUCAAAUCUUGACCUCAGAUCAGGCAAGGCUACCCGCUGA
rnacentral:sRNA from 1 species